rnacentral:rRNA from 1 species
GACAGAGGGGGCAAGCGUUGCUCGGAAUCACUGGGCGUAAAGGGCUCGUAGGCGGCCAACUAAGUCGGAUGUGAAAUCCCCAGGCUUAACCUGGGAACUGCAUCCGAUACUGGAUGGCUUGAAUCCGGGAGAGGGAUGCAGAAUUCCAGGUGUAGCGGUGAAAUGCGUAGAUAUCUGGAGGAAUACCGGUGGCGAAGGCGGCAUCCUGGACCGGCAUUGACGCUGAUGAGCGAAAGCUAGGGGAGCAAACGGG